CCAGCAACAAAGGGCUGCAACCUGUGGCUGGCCACGAAUCCCCUGAAAAUGAAAUAUUCUCCAAAAUGCUUUUCCUGGUUGACUUGUGUGGAAACUUCUCAUCAACAUGGCUGCAUAACAUGCACCAUCAUAGAGCAGUGUAUGGCUGUGAUCUGUUUUCAUGACCAAUGAUUUUCGAGUGACCGAAGGUUAUCAAUCAAUGAGCAGUUCUUACUCAUGGAGGCAAGUUGGACCUUCACCAAUGUGUGCAGAUUUUCUCUCAAGGCCUGGGGGAAGCUGGACAAAAAUGAGCCAUGAGAUACACUCAGUGUGCACUUCAACAAGGCCCAUGUUUCUUUUCCAAAUAGUGAAAGAAUAGAGUUUUGUCCUGCUCUACAGAAAGAAGAGAAUCAGGGUCAUUUAAUAAGAUUAAACAUAUCUGUGGCUCACUAUGUGAAUGGCCAUCUCCUCUGCUAGGUGUCUUCUGAGUAUAUAGGGAGUUUGGAAUAGGGGCACAGAGCAAAGAGAGUCCACCAGCCUCCUGGCGAAAGGGCACACAAGUUAAAAAUGACUGUCCAACUUUUUUGAAACCACCAUUUUUCUUGAGAACUCAGGAUGUGAGAACACACUCAUGUCAACCUGCUGGCAAAAUUCACCACAACCAAGCUUUGCCGUGAAAAUCCAUCUUUGAAACAGAGAAACACUUUCCUACCUGAGAUACCAAAGGAGGAAUGUCUGAGCUAUAUCAAAAGUACCAUGUCUCGACUUGAUUCCAGUCCUGGAGGACCUUUUGUCUCAGCCUACUGGACGAAUUCCACAUGAGCAGAAGCUGGCAUGGAAUUAAGCUGCUUUCCCAGGAACAAAGUGCUGCAACCAGGUGGCUGGCCAUGAAUCCUCUGAAAAUAAAAUAUUCUCCCAAACACUGUUCCUGGUUGACUUGUGUGAAAACUUCUGAUCAGCAUGGCUGCAUGGCAUGCACCAUCAUAAAGGAGUACAUGGCUGCGAUCGGUUGUGAUGACCAAUUAUUUUCCAGUCACUGAGAGUCAUCAAU